GUUCGGAGCGCGAGCGACACUCGCGUUGGAUGCGUGGCUUCUUCUUGUGACGACGAUCGACGCGCGAACACGUAUCGUCAAUUGUUUUUUUAUAACAUCUUGAAACUCAUACGAGUUCAGCGCUCCCUAAGCGGUUUUGGAACCUCUUAUAAGAAUUCAAGUUCCAUUAUUAUCAUAAAAAGCAACCAACAACCAAUGAAUUGAAGCUUCAAAUAUUUUAGUGCGGCUGCCAUAGUGAAUAUUGAAGACAGACAACUUUUCAAUUUCAAAAUGAAAAUUGAAAAUCUGAAGUUUCUUUUUUUUUUUUGAAAAAUUUGAAACUGCUGUAAGAUAUUAUGGAACUGUAAAUAUUGUGAAAAAUAACAAAGUGACGAUUAGUGGUACAGUGUCAAUGGAAAAUCAGGCGCAAAAAGUGCCAGCAUCAAAAAUUAAAAUAAAACAUAGAAUUUUUUCAUCGACAACAUAAUAAAAUUGAUGUGUUUCGUGAUUGUUAUGCUGAAGGAUCAUUACUAAUUAUCAGAUGUGUCGGAAACACGAGAUCGACAAAAAAAGGGGAAAAAACGAAAAAAACCUGAAUACCACCGCGGCCAACCUGUUGUGUGCACGGAGACAUUUGGGCCGCACAUUUAAAUGCGGGUGUAACGACUCUUAAAUUUACGACAAACAAGAUUGAAAGCUGUUUACAAUGAAGAUCAAGAAGAGACGGAGUCUAGAAGUUUUUCGCAGUUUUUGGAAGUUUCUUCGUACUGGUGAUUACCACUAGCGAGGUAUAGAGUUCCUACGUAUUCUACCACUGUAGGAACUUCAUACCGUGCUCUUGGGUUCGCCAAUCUUCUCCAAUUCUUCACCAUCACGCCUUUGAAGAUGACACAGCAAGAAUUAAGUCGAAGAAAUAUUCUCUGUAUUAUUUAUUUUGUAGUUUUUUCAUUGUGAUAAUUUGCAUUUGCGUGUUAUAAAAUGUGUACCAAAUAUUGUGUAUCAAAGAUUAUGUAAUCUCCUAUAUACUUUAUGCUAUGUACAUAUCAUACCUUCUUCUGCAUUUUUGUCUGUAGAGGAUUAAUGUGUUCAUUGUUAGUACUUACAUUGUAAGUAAUUAGGAUUUAACUAACUAACAUAUGUAUUAUGAUUCUUCAGCAUAAAUGUAUUUUAUAACUAUGUUCUCCAAAUAUUAUGAUUUUAGUUCUAACUUUGUAAGUGUGUUUAUCUUCUUGGAAUUAUUCUAUUAUUUUAAUACUAGCUUCCGAAUCAUGUGGGAACUAUUACACGCAUUAUAAAAAGUAGCCUUCUAUCUGACAGAACAUAUCAGACCAGAAGUUCCCGGGAUUAGAACGUUUAACCAACUCUACAGCUUUAUAAUAUUAGUAUUAUGAUUUUAAGAGUAUAGAAACUGUAAUUAUUAUAAUAAAUAGACACCUCACCCAAUGUAGACGUGAUGGUCGUGAUGUAUAUAAUUUAGAUUUUCCUAAAUAUUGGCCAAAUGAGGUUGGUAUAGGGAAAUAAACAUAAAAUAACAAUGAUCCAUCUAUUUAUGUACUACUUACAGGAAAUAUAUGUUUAUAUGAACAACGUAUAACAGCUAACUGUGGUUCAGCUAGUAAAGUUACGAACAUAUCUACAUGAUAUUGACCACACCCAGACCGAUUGUCGGCUGUUCUUCGGCAAGGAGAUCAGCCAGCUGUGCAGGGCAUGUUAUAUUAAUUAUAAAUCUUUAUUCUCAAGCAACAAGACUUAAAGUGUUAGUAAUAAUGUUCCUUAUCCUAUGGAAGUAUUCUAAAUACCAACCUGUACAUAAUAUGUGAAUCACCACCACACACUCGUCACCGAAGUGGACAGGUUGCAGCAGCGAUUCACAUAUUCAUAUUCACAUUUUAUGCCAUAACAGUCAUGGUGUACAACAUUUUUCAGACUCAGAACAACUCCCUUCCUAUUCCUUCAGUCUCAUAGGAAGGCAAUCCGACACGACUGGGGAGAGAUCAGGCGCAGGAUCGACAUUUACGUGCUCUUCGAUGCACGCGUGUGUCAAUCACCUCUGGGUGGCAGUUUAAAAAAAAACCACCGAUUUCGGUCCGUGAAUUGGACGCGUUCAAAAUACCUAUGUGGAUCAAUAACUGCUUUGUUUAAUUAAAUGAAUUACUUGAUAAUGUU